UACGAAGGGGGCUAGCGUUGUUCGGAUUUACUGGGCGUAAAGCGCACGUAGGCGGAUUGUUAAGUCGGGGGUGAAAUCCUGGAGCUCAACUCCAGAACUGCCUUCGAUACUGGAAGGCUCGAGUCCGGGAGAGGUGAGUGGAACUGCGAGUGUAGAGGUGAAAUUCGUAGAUAUUCGCAAGAACACCAGUGGCGAAGGCGGCUCACUGGCCCGGUACUGACGCUGAGGUGCGAAAGCGUGGGGAGCAAACAGG
rnacentral:rRNA from 1 species